GAUGAACGCUAGCGGCAGGCCUAAUACAUGCAAGACGAACGGUAAGUUGAGUAGCAAUACUUAGCCAAGAGUGUCGUACGGGUGCGUAACACGUAUGCAACCUACCCUAUACAGGAGGAUAGCCUAGGGAACCUGGAUUAACCCUUCAUAGUAUUAUUGGAUGGCAUCAUUUGAUAAUUAAAACUGAGGUGGUAUAGGAUGGGCAUGCGUCUGAUUAGUUAGUUGGCGGGGUAAUGGCCCACCAAGACGAUGAUCAGUAGGGGUUCUGAGAGGAAGAUCCCCCACACUGGCACUGAGAUACGGGCCAGACUCCUACGGGAGGCAGCAGUAGGGAAUAUGGUCAAUGGAAUGCAAGUCUGAACCAGCCAUGCCGCGUGCAGGAAG
rnacentral:rRNA from 1 species